GAGUUUGAUCUUGGCUCAGAGCGAACGCUGGCGGCAGGCUUAACACAUGCAAGUCGAACGGGCGUAGCAAUACGUCAGUGGCAGACGGGUGAGUAACGCGUGGGAACGUACCUUUUGGUUCGGAACAACACAGGGAAACUUGUGCUAAUACCGGAUAAGCCCUUACGGGGAAAGAUUUAUCGCCGAAAGAUCGGCCCGCGUCUGAUUAGCUUGUUGGUGAGGUAAUGGCUCACCAAGGCGACGAUCAGUAGCUGGUCUGAGAGGAUGAUCAGCCACAUUGGGACUGAGACACGGCCCAAACUCCUACGGGAGGCAGCAGUGGGGAAUAUUGGACAAUGGGCGCAAGCCUGAUCCAGCCAUGCCGCGUGAGUGAUGAAGGCCCUAGGGUUGUAAAGCUCUUUUGUGCGGGAAGAUAAUGACGGUACCGCAAGAAUAAGCCCCGGCUAACUUCGUGCCAGCCGCCGCCGU
rnacentral:rRNA from 2 species